AUCCUUUUAUGAUUCAUAAAUAUGAUGGUUGGGUUUUCACACUAUUGUGUGAGAUGCGCUAUUCUGAAAUCCUAUUAUGAUAUUGGCACAUGAAUCACCUGAUG
rfam:Ictidomys tridecemlineatus contig099978, whole genome shotgun sequence.